GCUGGGGAAGCAGAGGCUGGCCUCGCCGUAAUGGCCCUAGAGCUGCGGGACCCAUAGCAGCCCCAGCACCUCCACCCCAUUUGACGGAAGGGGGAACUGCACCCAGAAAGGAGGAAUGGAUCUACAAUUGGUUUAAAAGGCUUCUUGUACACUCAGCAAUGGGUGUAUGAAACAGUCCAUUAUUCCAGCAACUAAGAUAAAUUCCUGCUGACACGACCUGAUAUUCCCACUCAGCUAAAAUGCUGCCUAAGGUUUUUUUCUUAAAGACUCAGCUGCUGCCCUGCUCUCCCCUGAGUGAGGACUGUCAGUACAUCUCCAGGGGACAUCGUGAGACUGGGAGGGCAGGAGGCAGGCAGAAGGCAUCCCCCACGGCUCGGCUGGUGCUGCAGUGGGCUCAGCAUCACACACCCCCACCGUCCGCUGCCAGCAGUGCCUGCAGGGGGCACCAUGCUGGGGGCUGGGACCCAGCCCAGAGAGCCGAGGGUGAGAACAGAGAGACCAGGACAAACAUCCCGCAGAGAGCAGGCUCCGUGCAGCUGGCCAUGCCCCGGCCCGAGGUACCCGUAACCCCAGAGUGCAGGACUGG